rnacentral:rRNA from 1 species
GAUGAACGCUGGCGGCGUGCCUAAUACAUGCAAGUCGAACGCAUAGCGAAAGGUGCUUGCCCCUUUCAAGUGAGUGGCGAACGGGUGAGUAACACGUGGACAACCUGCCUCAAGGCUGGGGAUAACAUUUGGAACCAGAUGCUAAUACCGAAUAAAACUUAGUGUCGCAUGACACAAAGUUAAAAGGCGCUUCGGCGUCACCUAGAGAUGGAUCCGCGGUGCAUUAGUUAGUUGGUGGGGUAAAGGCCUACCAAGACAAUGAUGCAUAGCCGAGUUGAGAGACUGAUCGGCCACAUUGGGACUGAGACACGGCCCAAACUCCUACGGGAGGCUGCAGUAGGGAAUCUUCCACAAUGGGCGAAAGCCUGAUGGAGCAACGCCGCGUGUGUGAUGAAGGCUUUCGGGUCGUAAAGCACUGUUGUAUGGGAAGAACAGCUAGAAUAGGAAAUGAUUUUAGUUUGACGGUACCAUACCAGAAAGGGACGGCUAAAUACGUG